UGAAGUAUCCCCCACCAAAAAUUCACCCACUGUGCCUUUAAUAAUUCUUAACCCCAUCUGAAAUCAUUUAACGCAAGUUAAACGACUUUCUCAAGCAAGCAGCUGGUGCACGAUGGCGGUUCGAUUUUGUGAAGUUAUUUUAAUCUGUUUGUUGUUUGUAGCAUUUUUACCAAAAACAGGACAGAGUUAUGAGAGAUCAGCUCUAUGGGACUCGAUAACGAAAGGCGUCAGAAUUGAAAACAUACAAAUUGGUUGCGAAUUACAUUUGGGAUAUACUCUGCCAUCUUCUGGUGACUAUCUUCAUCCGAUCAGGGUAGAGAACUUCGAACAAAUCAUACACCUUGCCCAACUCGUGCCUGAAAUGAAGGUUCACUCCUGCGAGUGCUGUCCCGAGGAAAACGCCAGGAUUGGGAAUUGCGGUCUUUGCGUGGAGCAAUAAUACUGCAUGGGUCUUAUUUAACAAGGUCGGACAGAUGUCUACUCCACACACACUUAAUGUGUGAAGCAUAUGAAGUGUUUUUAAAGACCGAAUAUAGCAAUUUGUUGGAGGAAAGUUCAAACGAAAGACUAAGUGCAGAUGACAGUCUGACGACAUGCAAAGUCCAAGUAUUUUACUAAAUCAUGUUCACGUGAUAUUCACCAGCUGAGAGUUAGUGGUGACCCGUGAAUAUGGCAAUUAAAAAAAGGUGCUGUAACACGAAUUUAAAUAAAUGUUUAUAAGCAUCAUUUUCAAUAAGUUCUACGUAUCAAGUAACUCUUGUAUAAGAAUGCUUGGUUCAGUGGCCAUUACAAUAUCCGUAACAAUAAUUUCAUUAUUCGCGUUGCGCUCGAGAUCACGUGCUUAUACCGGCGAGACAUUUUGGAAACGUGAGUCGUUACUGUUCUGUUAUGUUGGAGGCGUGCAGCGAGGAUUUAACAUCGUAACGUUUAUGUUAUAAAUACCACUGAGCAUUCACACACACGAGAGCUAUUACACUUAUUUCUAGAACUCAUCCAUGUACCUCAACUGUUUGUUGUUAGUUAUAGUGGGAACUUUACUCAGCCCGUGAUGAAAGUGCAAUUCUGUGGAUUGUUUCUCUGCACCUUGCUCAGUUCAGCGCUGCCAUCACAAGCUGGAUCACCUAUUGAUAACUUGGCGCUGCCUGGAGUUCAAAAUUCAAAUGAACUAGCAGGUGGCAAUGAAUAUGUAGAUAAAAUCAACGUUCUACACGGUAGUUGUCCAGCUGGAACUGUCCUUGGUAUAUAUUUAGGAUAUACUCUGCCUUGCUCUGGUGACUAUCUUCAUCCGAUCAGGAAAGAAGACUUCGAAAAAAUCAUCAGCCUUGAAUAUCUCGUGCCCGAAAUGAAGGUUUACUCCUGCGAGUGUUGUCCCGAGGAAAAGGCCAGGAUUAGAGAUUGCGAUCUUUGCAUGGUGCAUUAAAACUGUAUGAGUUUUAUAUAACAAGUAGGCUAAUUAUACAUGUAUAUGAUCAAGAAUCCCUGAUUUGAUCAGAUAUCGAACAUUGACUUCAAUUAACAGAAUGGAAGUGUUUUGAGACAACAUUGAUUCAAUGUCAUUUCUGUGUUCAUUUUAAGAUUUUAAGACGCAUAGGCUGUAGGACCUAACUGCACAUAA
rnacentral:misc_RNA from 1 species